GCUUGCUAGAAGAUGACGAGUGGCGGACGGGUGAGUAAUGCUUGGGAACUUGCCUUUGCGAGGGGGAUAACAGUUGGAAACGACUGCUAAUACCGCAUAAUGUCUUCGGACCAAACGGGGCUUCGGCUCCGGCGCAAAGAGAGGCCCAAGUGAGAUUAGCUAGUUGGUAAGGUAACGGCUUACCAAGGCGACGAUCUCUAGCUGUUCUGAGAGGAAGAUCAGCCACACUGGGACUGAGACACGGCCCAGACUCCUACGGGAGGCAGCAGUGGGGAAUAUUGCACAAUGGGGGAAACCCUGAUGCAGCCAUGCCGCGUGUGUGAAGAAGGCCUUCGGGUUGUAAAGCACUUUCAGUUGUGAGGAAAAGUUAGUAGUUAAUACCUGCUAGCCGUGACGUUAACAACAGAAGAAGCACCGGCUAACUCCGUGCCAGCAGCCGCGGUAAUACGGAGGGUGCGAGCGUUAAUCGGAAUUACUGGGCGUAAAGCGCACGCAGGCGGUUUGUUAAGCUAGAUGUGAAAGCCCCGGGCUCAACCUGGGAUGGUCAUUUAGAACUGGCAGACUAGAGUCUUGGAGAGGGGAGUGGAAUUCCAGGUGUAGCGGUGAAAUGCGUAGAUAUCUGGAGGAACAUCAGUGGCGAAGGCGACUCCCUGGCCAAAGACUGACGCUCAUGUGCGAAAGUGUGGGUAGCGAACAGGAUUAGAUACCCUGGUAGUCCACACCGUAAACGCUGUCUACUAGCUGUGUGUGUCUUU
rnacentral:rRNA from 1 species